rnacentral:rRNA from 1 species
UACGUAGGGGGCAAGCGUUAUCCGGAUUUACUGGGUGUAAAGGGAGCGUAGACGGUUAUGCAAGUCAGAAGUGAAAGCCCAAGGCUCAACUUCGGGACUGCUUUUGAAACUGUGUAACUAGAGUGCAGGAGGGGUAAGCGGAAUUCCUAGUGUAGCGGUGAAAUGCGUAGAUAUUAGGAGGAACACCGGCGGCGAAGGCGGCUUACUGGACUGUAACUGACGUUGAGGCUCGAAAGCGUGGGGAGCAAACAGG